AUACGUAGGGGGCGAGCGUUGUCCGGAUUUAUUGGGCGUAAAGGGUGCGUAGGCGGCCUUGUAAGUCAGAUGUGAAAGAUCAUGGCUUAACUGUGGUAAGCAUUUGAAACUGCAGGGCUUGAGUACAGGAGAGGAGAGUGGAAUUCCUAGUGUAGCGGUGAAAUGCGUAGAUAUUAGGAGGAAUACCAGUGGCGAAGGCGACUCUCUGGACUGAUACUGACGCUGAGGCACGAAAGCGUGGGGAGCAAACAGGAUUAGAUACCCUGGUAGUCCACGCUAUAAACGAUGAGUGCUAGGUGUCGGGGGUCAAACCUCGGUGCCGCAGUUAACACAUUAAGCACUCCGCCUGGGGAGUACGGCCGCAAGGCUAAAACUCAAAUGAAUCGACGGGG
rnacentral:rRNA from 1 species